rnacentral:rRNA from 1 species
CCCUUAGAUGUUCUGGGCUGCACGCGCGCUACACUGAUGCAUACAGCGAGUACUUUCCAGCUCCGCGAGGCAGCUGGUAAUCAGCAAUAUGCAUCGUGCUGGGGAUAGAUCUUUGGAAUUAUAGAUCUUGAACGAGGAAUUCCUAGUAAGCGCAAGUCAUUAGCUUGCGCUGAUUAAGUCCCUGCCCUUUGUACACACCGCCCGUCGCUCCUACCGAUUUCGAGUGAUUCGGUGAACCUUUUGGACAGCGUCUGUCCUCGUGUCAGAUGCUGAAAGUCAAGUAAACCAUAUCACUUAGAGGAAGGAGAAGUCGUAACA